GAUCAGCAAGUCCAUAAUGUUUACCUAAUAAAUCAUCUUUUUCUUUUCAUGUUUAGAUAGCAUGGGCCAAUGACCGCAGAAGAGCAAUGUUAACCAGAACUUAACCUGACCUGUCUUUGUGAAUAGAACUGAUCCCAUCUCACAUCACCGGGGCACAAGAAAGUUUCUGGUAAGCAUUUUCCCACCCUGGUGAUGGAAGAGUGAUGGUGCCACAUGAAGUUAUGACUCUGUAAACGUGAAUGCUGAGUAAUGUGUGUAUGAAUUUCAUCUAGCAACUUUUUCUCCGAGUAAGAAUAGGUUUUCUCCAGCCAAAACAUUGCAACAGGAGAUUUGCAGUGAAUAUGCAGAAGCUGGACUUUGUAUAAGCAGUGCAGAAUCCUCCCCACCACCUGUCCUCCAGGAAAAAAGAAGUAAGGCUAAGUUAUCUGCUGGUAACUUUGUCAAUAUCUUUUACAUAACAAAACUUUGACAUGCAGCAAAGGCAAAAUAAAAAAAAUAUGAUACUCAGUGCUGUAUUUCAAAUUAAGCCUUACCUGGAGCCAUCUUUGUGCUUACAUAUCAAAUGAAGAAAAUCAUGAACUUAAAAGGAAUCUGUAGUUACUGCUGAAGGU
rnacentral:lncRNA from 1 species